rnacentral:rRNA from 1 species
GACGAACGCUGGCGGCGUGCUUAACACAUGCAAGUCGAACGGAAAGGCGCUGCUUUUGUGGGGUGCUCGAGUGGCGAACGGGUGAGUAACACGUGAGUAACCUGCCCUUGACUUUGGGAUAACUUCAGGAAACUGGGGCUAAUACCGGAUAGGAGCUCCUGCUGCAUGGUGGGGGUUGGAAAGUUUCGGCGGUUGGGGAUGGACUCGCGGCUUAUCAGCUGGUUGGUGGGGUAGUGGUAUACCAAGGCUUUGAAGGGUAGCCGGCCUGAGAGGGUGACCGGCCACCUUGGUCCUGAGAUACGGCGCAGUCGCCUACGUGAGGCAGUAGUGGAGAAUAUUGCGCAACGGGCCGAAGCCUGAUGCAGCAACCUCCCGUGCGGGAUGCCGGCUUUCUGGUUGUAAACCGCUUUCGCCUGUGACGAAGCGUUAGUGACGGUAAUGGGUAAAGAAGCACCGGCUAACUACGUG